GAAGAGCACCAGUUGGCAGUCGUGCCUGUCUACCCGGUCAAUCUAACGGACGAAAAAAAGCUCCUCGCUAUGCAGGCAUUAUUUUCGGGCCGGUACAUCUGAGUUUUAGUUCACCGGCCUCUAAAUAUCCUCAAAUCUUUCAGCAUACACAUCAUCUUGGCUCGAGGAUUUAAACGCUACUCGUUUCUUCACGGUAGUUCAGGUCCUGCAGGCAACGGACGACAUCGAAGCCAAGUACUUGUUCCAAUUCACGAAUUCGGCAAAACGAAUCUCCCUAUGCUGAUUUUUCGAGUGGUUUAAAUCAAUCGACUUGAUGAUCGACAUUCUUCUUCUACCGGUCUCUUAUAGACUUGUUGCAGCAAGUUUGUUGUAUUCAAUGACUGUUUUAAAGAACACCGAUGAUUGGUCUUUGCUGACUGAAACUGUCAUUUGACUCCCUGUUUAUUUCAUAUCCGUUACUCUACUGUGUAGUAAAAUUUAUUGGAGAGUGAUUUGUCUCAUUACGAGCCUCGAUUUAUGCAAAAAAAAAAAGGAUGACAGCAAUCUAAGCAUGACAACGCGCAUCGAUUGGCAAUCGAACGAUUACAGCGAUAAUACCGACUCCGCAAUUGCCGCAGGGCGCGGAAAAUAUAAUCGGGGAAUAACAAGCCUCGAGCGGUAGCCGGCAAGGACGGAGAUAAAAUAUUACAUAAAAUGAGAGAAAGAGGGACGGACGGAAUCGAGCGAGAGGGGAAUACCCUGCGAAAGAAGGAGCGGAGAUACAGGUGGUUGUGAAAGGGCCACCUGCGCGGCAUGCGGGCCUCCGAGGAGUGCCGGAGUGUCUCCGUGGAUCGAGCCGAGUGUCUCUCUGCACGCCCCAAGAGCCUCCAGGGGAACGCUGGCGCGUGCUGCCGCCGUUGCUGCUGCUGCUGUUGUUGCUGCUGUUGCUGCUACUCGGUUCAUCGCUUUGCUUCCGUCUCAAUUGUUGCGCGUCCGUGUGCG
rnacentral:lncRNA from 1 species